rnacentral:rRNA from 1 species
UACGGAGGGUGCAAGCGUUAUCCGGAUUCACUGGGUUUAAAGGGAGCGUAGGCGGGCGUGUAAGUCAGUGGUGAAAUCCCCGAGCUUAACUUGGGAACUGCCAUUGAUACUAUACGUCUUGAAUUCUGUGGAGGUAAGCGGAAUAUAUCAUGUAGCGGUGAAAUGCUUAGAUAUGAUAUAGAACACCGAUAGCGAAGGCAGCUUACUACGCAGAUAUUGACGCUGAGGCUCGAAAGCGUGGGGAUCAAACAGG